rnacentral:lncRNA from 1 species
AAAUGAAGAAAGUUUUAUGAAAAAAUAUAAGAUGGAAGAAAGUAAAGAGUGAGAGGAGACUGAGUGAGGAAUGUGGUGAAUGGAGAGUGAGGUUUAUGUAGGAAUUCAUUAAGUAACUGAAAGUAAAAAAUAUAUUAGAAAAAAUCAAAGAAAAAAAGAAAAAAAGAAAAAAAAACAUUUUUGUGCUUAUGAAAAUGAAGAAUAUGUUUAAAAAAUGAAGAAGAAAAAUGGAAUAGUAAAGAAUAUUAUAGAUUUGCAAAGUAGU